rnacentral:lncRNA from 1 species
CAGCCCCCGGCCCGGCUCCGCGCGGCGCUGCCCGAGCCCCGCGGCGGCGGUACGCGGAAGAAGGGAGAGGAAGGACCUACUUUUGGGCAGUUUUCUCGCCCUCGCCUUGGAUCUCAUCGUGUCGGCUUGCGGAUUCCUCUCCUCCUCCUUGAGCCCAGAAGCAGCUACACACUAUCUUCAUCUCCCAAGCAUUGUCAGUUUGGACACCUUCGCACAUGCGCACAGAGCAUUCAAUCUGACACCCUCACCAGGGCCAAAAAAACUUUCCAAUGUAUUCAUCAUCAUCGGGGUGGUUGGUUUUUUUUUCCCCUGUCCUAUCCUCUUCUCCAGACCACUUAUCUCUGCCCCCUCCUCUCUCCGCGCACCAGCGCAGCCUUCCCCCGAUCUGCCCCUUUAAGACAGACGCGCAGCGCUCCGGCCCCUCCGCGCAGUGCCCCUCCGAGCGGACAGUGCCCGCGGACCCGGGUGCCAUCCCCGAUCGAGGUGCCGCUGGGAGCGCUCCCGAGGGACCGACCACCGCCACGCCGGGGGAACCGAGGGACCCGCGGACAGCCGAGAACAGCAGGACGCCGGAACGCAGCCGCGCAACACACGCGGAGGAAUGCGGGCGGGCAGCGGUCGGGGUGUCCCGCACGGAUUUUCCAGGCGCAGCGCGCUGUGCUGGAGGCAGCACGCGGGUGGACGUCGGAUCUCCCCCCCCACCCAGUUCCCAGGGCGGCCCUUCUCGAGGUGAAGGCGCGGAGCCGCCGCGGUCCCUCUCCGGGGGCUCGCGGCCCCCACACCCCAAAAGAUUUGUCCUUAGUUAA